rnacentral:rRNA from 1 species
AAACAUGGCUCCUUGAAUAUUAAUAAUAGGGAGUCGGACCUGCCCAGUGAAUUUUUAACGGCCGCGGUACUCUGACCGUGCAAAGGUAGCAUAAUCAUUUGCCUUAUAAUUGAAGGCUAGUAUGAAUGGUUUGACAAGAAUGAAGCUGUCUCUUUAUAAUUUAGUAGAAUUUUAUUUUUAGGUGAAGAAGCCUAAAUAAAAUUAAAAGACAAGAAGACCCUAUCGAGCUUGAAAGAAAUUAAUAGAAUUAAGAUCAAUUAAUAUUCAUAAAAAAUUAUCUAUUAAACAUUUUAGUUGGGGCGACUGAGGAACAUAAAAAGCUUCCUUUAUAAAAUAAAUAAAUCAAACCAGAAUUGAUCCAAAACAUUUUGAUUAAAGAAAUUAGUUACCGUAGGGAUAACAGCAUUAUCUUUUUUAAGAGCUCAUAUCGAAAAAAAGGUUUGUGACCUCGAUGUUGGACCAGAAUAUCCUAAAGGUGCAGCAGUCUUUAAGGGUUGGUCUGUUCGACCAUUAAAAUUCUACGUGA